GACGAACGCUGGCGGCGUGCCUAAUACAUGCAAGUUGAGCGAUGAAGAUUGGUGCUUGCACCAAUUUGGAGAGCAGCGAACGGGUGAGUAACGCGUGGGGAAUCUGCCUUUGAGCGGGGGACAACAUUUGGAAACGAAUGCUAAUACCGCAUAACAACUUUAAACAUAAGUUUUAAGUUUGAAAGAUGCAAUUGCAUCACUCAAAGAUGAUCCCGCGUUGUAUUAGCUAGGUGGUGAGGUAAAGGCUCAACAAAGCGAAGGUACAUAGCCGGACCGAGAGGGGGAACGGCCAAAUUGGGAACGAGACACGGCCCAAACCCCUAACGGGGGCAGCAGGAGGGAAUCUUUGGGAAUGGACGAAAGGCUGACCGGAGAAAGCCGCGUGAGUGAAGAAGGUUUUCGGAUCGUAAAACUCUGUUGGUAGAGAAGAACGUUGGUGAGAGUGGAAAGCGCAUCAAGUGACGGUAACUAACCAGAAAGGGACGGCUAACUACGUG
rnacentral:rRNA from 1 species